CUUAGGCUCUCCGCACACGGUGUCGUAACGUAAGAGACGCGUAAGCGUAUCGUAAUACGCGCGUAGAACGAGAGCGCUACGCACACGAACAAGUUCAAAAAAGUCCGCACACGAAGCGUCGUCGUAGCGUAUCAGAUUUCUGUCGUCAUUACGCUAGUCGUAGCGUAAGAC